rnacentral:lncRNA from 12 species
AUGCCAUCAGCACCUGGGGCUUUGGGGUGCCCCACUUCCCCCAUCUGGAAAAGGUGGGGAGGCCUCCAAGCCCAGUGGCCAGGGAGAAGCAUCUCUGGUCAAGUGAAGGAAGGACAUCUUUCCUGUUUGCAGGGUGAUUCGCCUCAAGAUUCAGAACCAGAGAUGCUCCCUCCACACCAAGCGGGCUCACCUGCCCUGAGGUUCCUGCCCCGCUCCACAGGGGCCCCCACUGACCUCUCUGCCCUGGGAAGGCCCGCAGGGGCACUGACACCUUCCUUGGACCCUCCCUGCCAUGUCUCAUUUCCUUGGAGCUUCCUGCUUCCACUGGACAGGACUCGUGGUCCGGUAAGGUCUCCCCGAUGCACCAGGGCCACUAGGACACAGAAACAGCACCAAGUACUGUGACAGAGGACAUCACUGCAAGGAAUUGUCCGCCAGGUGAGAGCUGUCAACUCAAUGAGUGGACAGCGCUGUGUGGAGGCUCCAGUUGGGCCUCCCUCUGGCUGUCACCAACGUAACGUGCCUUCCUUGCUGCUACUGUCCUGGGCAUCUGCUGCUGCCCCCUCGCCUCAGCGCGUCCCUGCAGCAUGCGCUCUGCUAGCCUGACCCUCGGCUGGUCUUCCCUCCGCGUGGCAGAUGCUGCGUCCAUCCCUUGGGCCAGGGGAUCUUGCCAGUGUGAGUCCCCAGGCUGCCCGUGGAGGGUAGAGAUGGCAGUGGGGCACUGUCAGCGGCUAUACACCAACCAUUUGUCCUUUUCUUUCCUUUUUUUUUUCUUUUUAAAGAUUUUAUUUACUUAUUUGAGAGGGUGAUUGAGAGUGAGUGCAUGAGCAGGCAGGAGGGAGAGGCAGGAGGAAAGGGAGAAGCAAGCUUCCGGCUGAGCGGGGAGCCCGAUGCAGGACUCGAGCCCAGGACCCCAGCCCAGGACCCCAGGAUCAUGACCUGAGCUCACCCAACUGAGCCACCAGGAGCCCCCUAUUUGUCUUUUUCAUGGAGCCAUCGCAAGCAUGUC